UACGUAGGGUGCAAGCGUUGUCCGGAAUUAUUGGGCGUAAAGAGCUCGUAGGCGGUCUGUCACGUCGGCUGUGAAAACCCGGGGCUCAACCCCGGGCCUGCAGUCGAUACGGGCAGACUAGAGUGCGGUAGGGGAGACUGGAAUUCCUGGUGUAGCGGUGGAAUGCGUAGAUAUCUGGAGGAACACCGAUGGCGAAGGCAGCCUCCUGGGCUAGUACUGACGCUCAUGCACGAAAGCGUGGGGAGCAAACAGG
rnacentral:rRNA from 1 species